rnacentral:rRNA from 1 species
UACGGAGGGUGCAAGCGUUAAUCGGAAUUACUGGGCGUAAAGGGCGCGUAGGCGGUACGUUGGGUCUGCCGCGAAAUCCCCGGGCUCAACCUGGGAAUGGCGGUGGAAACCGGCGCACUAGAGUAUGGGAGAGGGUGAUGGAAUUCCAGGUGUAGCGGGGAAAUGCGUAGAGAUCUGGAGGAACAUCAGGGGCGAAGGCGGGCACCUGGCCCAAUAAUGAAGCUGAGGCGCGAAAGCGUGGGGAGCAAACAGG